GCCGGGCUUACAAUAACGAAAGCAGUCAGUAGGUUUUGCACUUUGAAUACCUAAAUACAUUUGACCUGAUCACUGAGAACCCCUGCAAAAUGCAUACUUUAAUAAACAAUGUACAUUAUAAUGGGUUUAUAUUAAAGUAAACUGUGUAAUACACAUUCUUCUCAUCACAUUUGUUUAUCAACAAAUAUGUCAGAUAUAUGCAGAUACCUAAUUCCUGGGGAUAGAUGGUGAUAGUUAAAGCUAAAUAAUGAGCUUGGAGAGCGGUGCUUUGUUUAAUUCUCCCCAGACAUAUGGUACAGCAUGGUAGUAGGUAAAUCGGAUAGUCUACAAUUAAUGAUAUUCUCUAUCUUAUGGAUCAUCAGAGGGUAUUUAUUCUCAUAGUUUUAGCCAAUAUUUGGAAAUGUAAAUGGAAUUGAAUUGAAUAGCCGAUUUCAAUGGACUCAUAUGGCAAAUCCACUUCUAUGUUUUUCUUUUAAAUAUGUGGCUUGCAAUGUGCCGUAGGAUGGUGUUUAGUACAAGUGGGAUGGAAGCUGGAGACGUGAUGUCAUCUGUGGCUCUGUGUCCAAUGUCUGCCAUCUCCCUGCAGGCAUCACUGAGUAAGAUGCCUUCCGCCCGCCUGCUCAUUGAUGACAUGUAUGUAAGUGUCUGCUCAAUGUCUAAAAGGUUCAAUAGUUAGCCAAGAGAUCCUGCUAAGCUUCAGUAACAUCACAGGAAAUGUUCUAUCCAUCGUCGCAAAGAACCUCAGGAUUCAUCAGUGAUCUCAUUGCUACCGUCACACAUUAGCCUAUCCCCAAGAUGUCCUCAACCCCUUUCAACUUCUUUGUACUUGUUAUAAUACUCAUGCAUUUCCCUAUAUUGCAAACAUUAGGAUCUUUUUCUUAUCAAACAGAUAGUCAAUCAACCAAUGAAUUGAUCAUGGAAAUGGAUUGAAGCACAGAGCUGGAACACAUAGAUACCACCAGUGUGUUUUCACCCAUUGAUAGGUCAUUUUUCAUUGAUUUGCAUCUUUAAGGUGUAACGGUCUGACCACUUUGAAGGUCCAUUAGAUCUGAAGAAUUCGUCUAGGUGCGAGGCUGAGGAGGACAGUCUCUUGCACUGGACUUGAGGGCCCACACACCUACCAUGAGUCACACACGGUUGUCUCCUGGUUGUAUCUCUGUACCUUCCCCAUGGCUCUGUUCUCAAUGGUGUGUCUACCUGGAUCUGUGACCGCGCCAACUCAUCCUUCAGGGUGUAUCUGAAACAUCUGGCGGCCACUGACUUCAUCAGCCCUCAUCACCACACUGUCCCAAUCCGGGCCGC
ensembl:lncRNA